UAUUAAUUAAUUAACGAUUUUUAUCUGCACCGGAACCAUGAGGCCUACACUAUUUUUGCUAAGCUGGUAUCAUUAUUUUUAAUUUGACAUUUCUAGCUGUCAUUUUGGUCUCUGGGAU